rnacentral:rRNA from 1 species
GACGAACGCUGGCGGCGUGCUUAACACAUGCAAGUCGAACGGAAAGGCCCUGCUUUUGUGGGGUGCUCGAGUGGCGAACGGGUGAGUAACACGUGAGUAACCUGCCCUUGACUUUGGGAUAACUUCAGGAAACUGGGGCUAAUACCGGAUAGGAGCUCCUGCUGCAUGGUGGGGGUUGGAAAGUUUCGGCGGUUGGGGAUGGACUCGCGGCUUAUCAGCUUGUUGGUGGGGUAGUGGCUUACCAAGGCUUUGACGGGUAGCCGGCCUGAGAGGGUGACCGGCCACAUUGGGACUGAGAUACAGCCCAGACUCCUACGGGAGGCAGCAGUGGGGAAUAUUGCACAAUGGGCGGAAGCCUGAUGCAGCAACGCCGCGUGCGGGAUGACGGCCUUCGGGUUGUAAACCGCUUUCGCCUGUGGCGAAGCGUGAGUGACGGUAAUGGGUAAAGAAGCACCGGCUAACUACGUG